rnacentral:tRNA from 1 species
AAUCAAUCUCCCUAAGACU